UGAAUCACAUCCUUGUCCACUCUGACUGCCAUCCCCCACCCCAGCUCCUUAAAGACAUCAAAGAUCCCUCAGGUGCUGCCCACAGGCAGGCAGGGCCUGACCAGGGCUCCAAUCUGAGAUUCCCAGUUCAGAGACAGCCAGCCACACCCAAGGGACGCACAGCACCCACAGAUACAGGGUCUGGGGUUUGAGCCAAACCCAAGAGCAAGGAGGCCCCUCAGGACAUUGGCUGGCAGGGAGGGGAGUGGCUGGGUGGUGGCCAGGUCCCUGUGUUUCCCUCUUGGCUGGGCUGGGCAGGGAGGGUCCCAGCCUCCCCCAUCUGUUUGUCUCUACAACCUGCUGAGGCCACUGUGGAGGCAGUGGGGAGGGAGUUUCCAGGAAGUUCCUGUCACACAAGGAGGGGCAGCAGCGCCCCUUUGCCCCAGGGGAGAGCUGCGUGGGACAUGUGCCCAGCUCAGCCCUGGGACCCAAAAUGGAGAAGAGAAAGGAGAAACUGAGGAUGGCAACCCCCCUCCGUGGGAACCCUGGGAAAGGCGGCACUGCAGGGCGUGGGCCGCUAGCAAGAACCGAUGGCCUUCCACCCCAGCAUUCGGUCUGCCCAGGCUUGCCUCAGUUUCCCCAUCUGGCCAGAAGCCCGAGAUGGCUACUUCCAGGGGGGUGUGAGCAGCAGAAAGAAGCGGACUAAGGCGACCAGAAGAGGAGGGGGAUUUGGGGAAGUCGGGGCCCUGUCCCUUUUCCGAGCCCCGGUCGCCAAGCCUCCCCUCCCCCGCCUGGCAUCUGAGCCGCCCAGAUAACGGGACCUCCCCGGGUGGAGCAUGCGCCGUGCGUCCUGGCCCAUCAGCCGGAGGGGGUGCGGGGGCUCCCGCGAGAGGGGACGCAGGGCGACCCGGCGGGAGCAGGGGGGCGUGGGGUUGGCGCAGAGAGGAAUGCUGGGCCGAGAAGCCGGAGGGGGGCCCCCAGCUGCAGCGCGGGUGUUUGAGAUCUCCGAUGUCCCCCUCCCCCAAAGCCCCCCAACUCAGCAGAGGCGGUCGCGGGCCAGAGGCGGCUCCUACCGUAGGCUCCGUCCUUCCGCUCGUCCUCCAUGGCCGCGUCGGGCGAGGAGGGGAGUCCGAGCCGGAGCGACCCCAGCCCGCGCGGGCGGGAGGCUCCGCGGGCUGCAGCGCCCCGCCCCGGCCCGGUCCGGCCCCGCCCCGCCCGCCCGGCCAGCCCCGCACGCUGCCUCCAAUGGGAGCCCGGAGCGGGCCGGGGCGGGGCGGGGGGCGGGGCCGGGCUCGGGAGAGGGUGGGGCCCCAACCUUUGUUUCCCAUCUGGGCUCUCGGGAGACUCUCCAGCUUGGCGUGUUUGGUGGGCUAGGAGCAGUGGUCACCCAUUCAUUCGUCCGCCGACCCAUUCACUCAUCAAAUAGGUAUUGAGCGCUGACUGUGUGCCACUGAAACAGACAAAAAGAUGCCUUUUUUUUUUUUUAUUAUUCAUCAGAUCGGCAAGAAUUUUAGUCUGGUAACAACCAGCGGGGUGAGCACAGGCUGGGGGACAAAAUGUUACCCGGCAGAAAGAUUAAAUCCAACCGUGUUCACCCUGUGCGAUUCAUCUCUGCCAUCGACCCUGGAGAAGCCAUCGGAGGUCCUCAUCUCACCGGUUGGUGAGUUCCAGCCCUGUGGACCGGCUCUGCACUGACAACACG